UAAUAAAUUCGUCUCGCAGUUUACAGGUGAAAUCUGUAAUUUGUUUUGUUAUUAGUCUACGUUUAAUACUUGAAAUGUGUGUCCGUAUACAUAAAAAAAUUUGGAGGAGGAACUAAACAGGGCCUCUGUCUCCGUGAAAGAGAGAUAGAUGGGUGGGAGUGCUCGACUGCACCGUACAGAGCAUAGCUGCGGUCUCCAGAUUGGUGUGUAGCUUAAGUUUAAUGCUUGUGUGUGAGUGUUUGAGUGUGUGUGUGUGUGUUGGAACCUUCAUGCACAUGAAUCCUGGUGUCAACUCACGUGUGCAGUGCACGAGCUUGGACUCAUGUCUGGUCGACUGCUGCUCCUAUAGCAAGGCCAUUUAUGGGCAGAAAUAAUUAGUGAGCUAGCUGGCCGUCAGUGUGCCGCAUGCAUGGGCUCGUUCUGCUGCUGCUAGCCGCGCCAGAUGUGUGCGCCAGCUGCUCCUGUAUCUUUGCUUACCUCCCAUUCAGAUAUCUGACGUGUCAUGUGCGGUGGUAACUGGCGACUUGUUUUUUCUUUUGGCAGUGUGUUUGUUUUCGCAAAACACAGAAUGAAUAAGAAGAAGAUCUAGCAUGUGGUAUUGAAACUUUGAAAGGUUGCUUGAUUUUUAUACCAUUUAAUGUUGACUUGUCUUUAACUUCUGUUUUGGAGAUUCUCUUCUAACUCAAUACUUAUUCAUGUUUAAUAGGAGCAGGGAUUUAUCAAUCUUACACUACAAACGGAUCGGGCUGUACAGGUGGCCGAGGAGAAGAUUUUUUAUGAAAGCUUUUGAGAGACAUCGUCAAGCUUUUCUUUACAGGACAGAGAAACAUCUAAAUCUAGUGCCCAGAAGCAUUCCUGUCUGUAUCCUAAGGCAACCCAUGGGCCAUGGCAGCAUGAGAGAGUUGCUGGGGAGCAUGCACAUGUGAGGGAUAUUGAUUCUUCUUUCUGAAAAGAAAAAUAAUAAAUCAAGCUAAGGCUGUGUUUAGUUCACAUCAAAAUUGGAAGUUUGGUUGAAAUUGGAACGAUGUGACGGAAAAGUUGGAAGUUUGUGUGUGUAGGAAAGUUUUGA